UAUCUCUGUAGAGUCUGCAUAUCAAUAAGCGGAGGAAAAGAAACUAACAAGGAUUCCCUUAGUAACGGCGAGUGAAGCGGGAAGAGCUCAAAUUUGAAAUCUUCAAGGUUCUACCUUGACGAAUUGUAGUUUAAAGAAGUGUUUUCUGUUGGAGUUUUGGUAAAAGUUCUUUGGAAUAGGACAUCAUAGAGGGUGAGAAUCCCGUAUUUGACCAUUAUUUCCAGCUUUGUGAUACACUUUCAAAGAGUCGGAUUGUUUGGGAAUGCAGUCCAAAAUGGGUGGUAAAUUUCAUCUAAAGCUAAAUAUUGGCGAGAGACCGAUAGCGAACAAGUACCGUGAGGGAAAGAUGAAAAGAACUUUGAAAAGAGAGUUAAACAGUACGUGAAAUUGUCAAAAGGGAAGCGUUUGACACCAGUGUUGUUUUCUCGAAAAUCAAUUAAAAAAGGCAGGAUUUUGUGUUGUAUUGACUUUAUCAGCUUUCUGCACUCUCUUCUUGUCUUUUUUAAUGCACUUUUCGUUUAACAAGUCAACAUCAAUUUCUUUUGUUGUGAAAAGGGUCAUUGGAAGGUGGCUUUCUUUUCGGAGAAAGUGUUUAUAGCCUUUGGCCUCUGCAAUCGGAGAGAUUGAGGUCUGCAGCGUAGAUCCUUCGGGGUUAGAUACAUUUGCUGCUAAGUUAUAGCCUUUCAUAGACAACUUGUUGACUAUGAUCAGUCAUGUAGCUUACUCGCUUAUGCUAUUUUACCUACGCUUAGGAUGUUGACGAUCAGCUGAGCGCG
rnacentral:rRNA from 1 species